CGAAGGCAUGGCAUUGGUGAAGCACGCCGAAGAUGCUGCAAGUAACAAAAAGUACAUGUUCAACAAGUUAGAGCUUCAUGUACUCAUUUUAGGGAUUGACAAGGCUGGCAAAACGACUUUGCUUGAGAAGAUGAAGUCGGUGUACACGAAUGUAGAAGGUCUUCCUCUGGAUCGAAUUGUGGAAAGCAAUUGCUUCUCCAGGGCGUGGUAUUUUGGCCAUGGAUGAAUCCAAUGCUACAUGUGGAAAGCGGUUGGAUUCAAUUGGACUAGAGAACAC